GAGUUUGAUCUUGGCUCAGAGCGAACGCUGGCGGCAGGCUUAACACAUGCAAGUCGAGCGGGCACUUCGGUGUCAGCGGCAGACGGGUGAGUAACACGUGGGAACGUGCCCUUCGGUUCGGAAUAACUCAGGGAAACUUGAGCUAAUACCGGAUACGCCCUUUUGGGGAAAGGUUUACUGCCGAAGGAUCGGCCCGCGUCUGAUUAGCUUGUUGGUGGGGUAACGGCCUACCAAGGCGACGAUCAGUAGCUGGUCUGAGAGGAUGAUCAGCCACACUGGGACUGAGACACGGCCCAGACUCCUACGGGAGGCAGCAAUGGGGAAUAUUGGACAAUGGGCGCAAGCCUGAUCCAGCCAUGCCGCGUGAGUGAUGAAGGCCUUAGGGUUGUAAAGCUCUUUUGUCCGGGACGAUAAUGACGGUACCGGAAGAAUAAGCCCCGGCUAACUUCGUGCCAGCCGCCGCAGUAAC
rnacentral:rRNA from 1 species